CCCUUGCCUGCCACCGGCCAAGACCAGACGCGAUCUGCAGAGAUCUCUGAGGGGAAGGAAGGGUGCGGGGGGCUGAGCUUUCCCUUGGGGCCCGUCGGAAUAAAAGUCACCAACUUGGGUCCCGCUGGGCACCUUACGGAUGCUGUACGCGGCCUAACUGAUUUUCUCCUCGAGCCGCCUGAUCUGAAACCGGGUUCAGAGAGAAGUGGCUUGCCCAGGUCACCUGGUGCGUGGGAGAAAGACCCAGAACUGGGAUCCGGCCCUGAGGACAGAACCUGUGCUUCUCUUGAUGCAUGAGAGAGAGAGAGACACACACAGAAUCCGAAGCAGGCUCCAGGCUCUGAGCGGUCAGCACAGAGCCCGACACGGGGCUCGAACCCACGAAUGGUGAGAUCAUGACCCGAGGCGAAGUCAGACGCCCAACCGACCGAACCACCCGGGCGCCCCCACCAUGUUCAGUUUUAGACGCAAUUGAGAUGCAGUUUUGGGGUAUACGUUCUUCCUGGCCACCAACAGAUGUUCCCACUCUUGCACCUGUACCGGCUGGGUGACCGGCAGCAGGUUCUUUAACCGCCCCGGGCCUCCGAUGAUUCAUCGGCAAAGGGAAGGCCAUCUCGAAGAAUCACAGAGUGUCCAGAAUGGGGCGGCUCCCCGGGGGGGGCUCCUCUGGCAUCCAGCAGGGCUCUGUCAAUGCUAGCUCUUAGCCCGGACUGUCUGUUGACGCACGCUUUCUCGCAGGGUUAAAUCCUGGUCCCUCCUCCGAGGCCAACCUCAUCCGCCCUCUGUGUACUUGAGCAAAAACAGCCCCUUCUGUUUGUGGGCCUAUAAUUGUCUGGUUGUUUUCAUGUACUGGAUCCUCCGUCCUCCCCUGGGGAAGGUGACGCAGUGGGAUUAUUUUCCACACUUGACGGAGAAAGGAGACGGAUAGGCUUGGCAACGGCAUCGAGUCACCGGGCAAGAGAGGGCCGGGAUCGGAACCAGAGCUUGGAGCCCCAGUGAGAGGGGUAUUUUCCUGCCACGCGCCCCGGGGUCCCUGUUGACGCUCUUGAUUUGUUUCCGACAACCUGAAACCAAGUUCCUACCACCUCACCAAAACCACACCGAGGGGACCGUCACCCACCUGCCUGGGGCUGGGCUGACGGUCCCCGAGGUGCCCGUGCUGCAUAUGUGCAUUUCAGGCACAUGUGCCUCCAGGGCCGGCCGUCUUUCCCUCCUCAUUUGUGGUGUGUUCCCUUCUCCCUCCGUCUCCGCGGUCUAACCCACCGCUGUCCCUCUCUCCGGGCCUCCCGUCCCCCUGUUCUAGAAGGUCUCCCAAGGCUCAGCUGGCUUUGCUCCUCCGCGGUACGCAGUGUGGAAGGUGGCCAUGGUGUCACAAGGGGACAGCUUCAUGAUUUCCACAGCCUGCGGGGGCUUCCCCGAGGGGGGACUGAACUGAAACCGACUUGCUCGGAGUCCCUGGAGAAGGCUCUUUGCUCUCGGUCCGGCCCAGUUGGCUGUCACGAGCCUCAAAUUAGAGAAUACCCCUGAGACCUUCUGCCCGCUCCCCCUGCCCCUCCUCAAGGAGCAGGGAAGGGGAGAGGGGUGGGAAGCUGGGCAGGGGGAACAGGCCGAGAAAUGACCCUCCGAGUUCCAGGGCUGACCUCUUUGCCAGAACAGUUUCUACAGAGGUAAGAGAACCAGGCCCAGCUGAAGCCCAGCCCCUCACCUUGUGUUUUGGAAGCCCUUAGAAGUGGGGGCCACAGACCCCUCCUCGCCCACACCUUCCUCAGUGGGAGAGACUCCCACAGCUUCCUGUUCCGCUAGGAAAAGAAAUCACCCUAAUUCACUCCCGGGAGCCUCAGGCAGGGCUGGGGAGCCGGGGUGGAGGCUUCUGGGCCUUCUUCCCGUGAUAGCGGCAAGCUGUAUCCUGACACCUGGCCUUUGACCCUCUUGGCCUCGUUCUCAGUGCAUCCAAGGCACCUCACAUCCUUGACUGUGGGUCAUGCAGGCCUGAGUUCUAGAAAGUUCUAGAAGCCCCUGCUCUGCAAUUUGCUGUGUGACCUUGGAUAAGUUAUUCAGCUGCCCGAAGCCUGUGUUUUCUCACCUGAAGGGUAAGGCUGUGCAGCCCGAAUGAGACAAGAAAGCCUGGGCUUUGGCCUGGGGGGAGCCCCCAGGACCAGCAGCCACCGUGUCACUUCCCAUGUCGCUCAGGGCCGGGGUCUGUGCUUCAGCCCCCUGGCUUACUUCCAGAGGCUUCUGUAACUCUGUGUCGGUGGAGCCCGUGGUCCCCAGGAGGAGGGUGGGGCCAGCGGUGUGGCCAGGAAGCUGGCAGGGAGAGCGGGCCCUGUUUCAGUGCCCCCUGAGGGCUUGGGGGUCCUUCUUGGAUGCCCGCGAGCCUGACUUUGGGGUCAGGAUUUCAUUUGGGGACUGGGUGGAAGCACAAUUUCAGGGGGUUGCGAAGAGUAUGGGCAAAAAUUUGUCUGGUACAGAGGAAAGGGGACCUCGGUGGCAGCCAGGACCCUGUGGUUCUUGCCCUGGAUGCUCGCCUUUCCUGGGCCUCAGAGAACAAGGCUUAAAAAGCCACAGCUUACGUUUGCGGAGUUCUUCUUACAUGCGGGCACAGUUUGAAGUGCUCAUCACCUUACUUACCCUCACCACACCCCGGGAGGGACCCACAUAAGGCACGGGAGAGGCUGGCAGCUUGCCCGAGCUCACAGAUUUCAAGGGGCAAAGGGACAAUCAUGGAAGUCGGCGGCCAGGGAAGCCCAACGCGCUGUCCUGCUGCCCAGGGCCCUCCAGGGCCAUGGCGCGUGGGAGGCAAGGGUCUGUGACCUGCCUUACAGCAGGAGGUCACUUGUGCCGGGAGCUCCAGGCCCUGUAACCCGUGCCACGAGCCUGUGCGCACCCGCCAUCAAGUCAGUCAAUACUGGUGUCUCCGUGGCAACCCGCUGGGCCCGCCCUUGAACCUGGCUUGGCAAGCAGCUCCCUUCAGGCUGCACAGAGGCCUUGUUCUCCACGCAGGUGUUCGGGACACAGCCCGGGGAUUUGGAAACACCGGGGUCUUCCAGCCAGCAUCUGAGGGAAGCUUCUCGGGCUUCCAUUGCCCCCAUCUACAGAGGGACAUCACAUGUCCUCUUUACCAGGGACACGGGCUGGGAAAUGUUGGGGUUGGCACAAGGGCUCGCAUUAUCUUGUGUGAAGAGACUGUGGGGAACAUCCGCAUUGGGCAGGCACCGGGAUCACAGUCCGCAUAGAUGCUGACCCGAGGAAACUGAAGCUCGGGGGGAUGCAUUGGCCCCCAAGGCCAUGUACGAAACGCCAUAGGUGGGCUGACUCCCCAGAGCAGUGCUCUCCAGGAGGAAGAAUUGUCCUCAUGUUUAGCCUUCAAAAAGCCACGUGGACUUCAAGCGUGGAGCCUGCUUACCCACCUGGGUGGGGCCCGAGGUGCCCCACGCUGGCCUUGGCACCAGCUGGAACAGCAAAGAGGAAUGGGAGACAUGCUGGGGAUCAGAGUGUCUCCACCUACCCCUUAGAGCCUGUGGGGACAGAGCGGGGGUGGGGGUGGGGAGUGGUUCUUCAGCCCCCAAGGGGCCUCCCCUAGAACAGAGCGCCUGAGGCAGGGUCCUGGGGUGAGCUCUCUAGCCCCUCGUUAAUCCAUUUCACUCUCUUGCAAAGUGGAAACAGCCUUAGGAGCAGUCAUGGAAUUUCUCUAAGGGAGAGAAAAGUCUCCGUAAGAGAAAACUCAGCGCAUGAGGCCGUGGGGUGGGAGGGAACCCCUCGGGAGGAGAGGAAGCCACUUUGUCUAGAGGAGGGAGGAGGUUUGGAGCUGACCCGCAAGCCGCCAGGGAGGGGAGAGAGGCAGGAUGCGCUGAGACGACUCCCGGAGGCCCCAUGGUCUGCAGCCCACGGGAGAUCCCCUUGGCCGUAGGAGGCCAGAGGCAGAGGGCCUGGGCCACUGAGCCCCCCGGAGAGCACCCCAGACUUAGCAGGUAUUAGGAGGAGGAGGAGGAAGAGGGUUCUGAGCCCCUCCGGUGGAGGUGAUGGGGACUAAGGCCUGGACCUCGCAGGGCAGGGAGUCAAGUUACACGUAACACCACUCUGCAUAAGGGACUCACCCGAGGCCACCUCCCAGGUGGCAGAUGGUGGAACCAGGAGUCAGAUCCAGGGCUCCGCGUUCUAAACUCAUUGGCAGGUGUGCUUUGGCCAAUGGCAGGUGGUGGCUCUGUCCACGUUGGUCUUCAAACCCACCUCUCCCUCCCUCCCUUCCUUCCGGCUCCUUCAAACUCCCUCCCCCAUUCUCCCUGACUCCCAGGCAGAGAGGAGAGGAUUGCUACAGACUCAUCCCCGGCAAGGCCUCGGUGGCACAAUCCCCCCCCCCCCGCCCCUUCGGGAGGGGCUCCGCUUUAAAAGGGGCUCCUGGAGAGGGCACGGCAGAAACCCCAAGGUGACAUCUGUCCUGGGGUACUGCGGCUCUCUGCCGCGGGGGAAGAGGGGCAGCCGUUCUGACACUGAGAAGCAAGACGCAGGCAUGCCAGGAUGCCAUAAAGCUCAGUCUAGCACAGCAAAGUGGCAAAAAGGAAGAAUAAAACACCCGUCUAUUUAAGAGUCACGACAGGGAAAAAUACAUUUUCAUCAGCUCGUCUUCUCGCGGCUGAGUCCCCGCAGCAAGUUCCACAUUCCGAACGUUAGGAGAGAAAUCAAAACAACUUUGCUGUGUUUAGCUUCGUUCUGCCGCAGCAACAGGUACCGUGGUGUCUCUCCCAGAAACGCAGGAACGGCUUUAAAAUGCAAUUAUGGGGGCUGGUGGAAGGGAAGGGGAAAAAUGUUUUUCUUCGAUUGAUGUAUGAUUGCCCCCAUGCUGUUUGGAAUCGUAUUUUCGCUGAGCUCUGCUAAGAAGUGCUAUUUGCAGGGAGCCUGACAGACGGAAGCGAUUGGGUUUGGCAGGUCUAAAUGUAUUAUUUUAGUAGGUCUCCAAGGAAAGAUUCCGGGAGGGGCGCUGGCCUUUUAAAGUGCAGAGGACACGGGGCUGCUUAGCCUCCAUCCUGCUUGUCAAGACCAAUCAGCCAGCCUGGAAACAGCCCCCGAGCUUUCUGUAGAGGCCCACCUCCCCGCCUCCCCCCUACCCGGCCUCCACUCCCCCUCCCCGCAGCCCCUGGCUCCCACUGACAAGUGCCAUUAGUCAUUCCCUCACCCAGCAAGGACUUCCCCAGGAAAUAUAAGAGGCCUGGCCCGGUGCUGGGCGCUGUAGGGCUUCUAAGGGGGCUUGGCGCAGAAGGAAGACGAGGGAGUCUGGGCCUGCAGGAGCCCAGGGGAGGAAAGGGGGAGGGCCCAAUCUGGA